rnacentral:lncRNA from 1 species
UCACAUGUCAGGAAAAUAGCUCAGGAGAGUUAUCUUCCAAUUACAGAUUGUUGACCCAGAUGGCUCCAAACUGAUUUUAGUAUUGCCUGGUGAUAAAUCUGGAGGUACAGAAGGAGAGAGGAAGAACCUUUGAUAUGGAGGAAAUGGAUGGCAUUGGCUCAAGCUAAGUGGUUUUUCUCCUCAGUAUUGGAGGCAGACAAUAGCCACUGUUUCUUGAGGAUAAAGCUGCAUUGGAUUUUCCCUAGAGUAUUUGUUGCUCUCUGUGAGACAGGCCAUCACCAGGUACCAAGAAUUCAAAUGCAGAUGAAAACACAGUAAAAUAAAUACUCCCGAUAAACUUCUGUAGGAGGAGGAGGCAAACUCAUAUUCAACAAAAUGCAGCAAGAAUUACAAAGACUAUGACAGAAGGUAACCCCACACGUGAGGAAAGGAAGCCAGAGCCUCUUGAAUGAGUUCUGAAAAAGAAACAGGGCUACUUUACACAGUGAGUUCCAAGUGUGCCAAUGAAUGCGUGCCAAUGAAGUACUGUAUGUUUGAUAAAGAUAAACAGCUAUUUCAAUAUGCUCAGAAAAACUCCUCAGAAACUCUGCAUUUGAAGUGUUAUAAAGAUAUGAACAGUUUUGCUGAAGUGCCAGUGUGAGGUUAAAGAGACGGAGCCACACAAGGAGAUGAUGCCUCAAAGCUGUUGGAAACAAGGAUGGGAAGCAAAUUGGAUGAUGUAGUUCAAUGCUUGGUGGACAGUUCUCACAAGGGUCAUCAGAGCUCAAGCAUCCACCAUACGGGCAGAGUGCAGUUAUGUAGGUUGCCUUGGGGCUGGUCAUCAAUCAUGUAUGUAGGAACUGGAUCCCAGGCACAAAGGUAGAGGACACAGCACGCAUGAGUGGACACCAGAAAGCAAACUUGAAGACAUCAAGAUGGAUUCCAGAUUAAGUUUUAACUUUGGAACAAUUCAUUUUUUUUUUCUGGAUUUCUCAGUGCUGAUCAGGUCCAUAUGAGAAUGCAUAGAAAUGCAUAGAAAAAUAGUUGUAGAGUCAACCGAUAGUGCAGAUUCCAAUCUGUGUGAUAUUUGUUGAAGAAGAGUACAGGACCUCUUGAUUUUUGAGGGUAAGAGGAGCAAUGGGAGCUAUAGAGAUGGCUGAGCUUUUAAGAGCACUGGAUGUACUUGCAGAGGACCCAGGCUCAGUUCUGAGCAACCAUAUGGUACCUCACAACUGUCUGUAACUCCAGUUCAAUCCACUUUUUAGGUUAGAAAUUCGCUUAUAAUAUUUCAGUCUCAAUUUAAUUGUAAGUAUAUUAUUUUGUUAUUUGUAAACAUUUACUCAAAAAGUACAAUUCCUUAUUUCCUAUAAUAAAUAUUUAGUAUUUGAUAGGAAAGCCA